UAGUCCACGCUGUAAACGAUGAGUGCAAGGUGUUGGGGUCAAACCUCGGUGCCGCCGUUAACACAGUAAGCACUCCGCCUGGGGAGUACGUACGCAAGUAUGAAACUCAAAGGAAUUGACGGGGACCCGCACAAGUAGCGGAGCAUGUGGUUUAAUUCGAUGCAACGCGAAGAACCUUACCAGGGCUUGACAUAAAAGUGACGAGGAAUAGAGAUAUCCUUUUCUCCUCGGAGACAGUUUUAC
rnacentral:rRNA from 1 species